GAACAAUAGGGAUUGCAACAUAACUGGCACCUAGGUGUCUGUACCUGAGCAGGUAAUUUAAUUAGUGGCUAGACACUUUUGAGCCUGUUAACAGUUUUACAUUAAACAUGGGAUUCCUGUGCCCACAUCUACAAACAAAUGGUGUCCACAGAAAGCUAUCUUCUGAGCACCCACUCUGUCCAAAAAUCGCUGAGAUUGGAGGUGGCUUGCCCACGUUAGCUGAAAGUAAAGUUUUG